rnacentral:rRNA from 1 species
AACGCUGAAGGAGGAGCUUGCUCUUCUGGAUGAGUUGCGAACGGGUGAGUAACGCGUAGGUAACCUGCCUGGUAGCGGGGGAUAACUAUUGGAAACGAUAGCUAAUACCGCAUAAGAGUAGAUGUUGCAUGACAUUUACUUAAAAGGUGCAAUUGCAUCACUACCAGAUGGACCUGCGUUGUAUUAGCUAGUUGGUGGGGUAACGGCUCACCAAGGCGACGAUACAUAGCCGACCUGAGAGGGUGAUCGGCCACACUGGGACUGAGACACGGCCCAGACUCCUACGGGAGGCAGCAGUAGGGAAUCUUCGGCAAUGGACGGAAGUCUGACCGAGCAACGCCGCGUGAGUGAAGAAGGUUUUCGGAUCGUAAAGCUCUGUUGUAAGAGAAGAACGAGUGUGAGAGUGGAAAGUUCACACUGUGACGGUAUCUUACCAGAAAGGGACGGCUAACUACGUGCCAGCAGCCGCGGUAAUACGUAGGUCCCGAGCGUUGUCCGGAUUUAUUGGGCGUAAAGCGAGCGCAGGCGGUUAGAUAAGUCUGAAGUUAAAGGCUGUGGCUUAACCAUAGUACGCUUUGGAAACUGUUUAACUUGAGUGCAAGAGGGGAGAGUGGAAUUCCAUGUGUAGCGGUGAAAUGCGUAGAUAUAUGGAGGAACACCGGUGGCGA